rnacentral:SRP_RNA from 1 species
CCGUGCUAGCUGGGGAGUUUGCGGUGCCCUGUAGCCUGCAAUCCGCAAUAGCAGGAGUGAAUCCCUAUGCCGAGGUUUAACAAUGUGAGGCCGGCCUGUAAAAGUGGUGAAGACGACCGGGUCCUGUGCAACGAGAACUCGCGAAAUCCGUCAGGUCCGGAAGGAAGCAGCGGUAAGCGAAUCAUUUCGUGUGCCGCGGGGCAGCCUGGUUCGAGCUAACUAUAUGGGUAUCGCUCAUACGGUUUAAAUCGAAGAUAGGUGCACGG